rnacentral:lncRNA from 1 species
CAUCUCUUUUCUUCUGUUUCUCCUUUUCUGCUCUCCGCAACCUCUCUUCUUUCACAAAAUUAACAAUGUUCUUGAACGACUCCUCCAGCCUAAACGUGCGCUCUUCCAGAUUCUGAUCAUCGGUGUCUUUUCUGAUGCUCUCAGCUUACUUGUCCUCGCACCGCGAGUGACAUGCCUUGAAAUAGCAUUUCCACCCAAAUCUCGGUCAUCAUACCCGUCAUCACCAUUCUCCGAUGAGGUGAUGACAGUCACACCCUCCAGAUUGGCCUUCAAGCUAUAAUUGUAUGUGUCUUUCGAUUUAUCCAUGAAUGCUUUGAAAUUUUUCAUGUAGUGUUGCUUCAUUUCAGGGACUGUGGGGAUAAGGUACGGGUGCACUCUCUACAGAUAAAUAGGCAAAUGUGAUUAUUAAGCAAUACAAUAUUGGUAAAAGUAUUCUUCGAAAAAAUAAUUUCAUACCUUUGUGCUCC